GCCGAAAUAGCUCAGUCGGGAGAGCGUUAGACUGAAGAUCUAAAGGUCCCUGGUAACUAGGGACCAUGAGCAAUCUUUGGAUUGGAAUUGACCCUUUGAGGUG
rnacentral:tRNA from 1 species